ACUUACGGCCAUACCACCCUGAACACACCUGAUCUCAUCUGAUCUCUGGUGCAAAACAGGGUUGGGCCUGGUCAGUACUUGGAUGGGGGAACACCAGGUGCUGUGGGUU
rnacentral:rRNA from 1 species